rnacentral:tRNA from 1 species
CAGGGAUUAGCUCAGACCGGCAGAGCGCCGCACUUGGACUGCGGAGGUCGGAGGUUCAAAUCCUCCAUCCCUGACCA